ensembl:lncRNA
CCUCGCGGAUGGAUGCAGCUGUUGUUGUAGUUCCACUGGAUAGAGUCGCGUGAGUGAAUCGGGAAUCAAUCGAUAGAUAGAUAGAUAGAUAGAUAGAUAGAUAGAUAUUAUUCAUCCCAUGAGGGACACCGGAGGACACCUUUGGAAGGACUUCUAAGCACCGGAGAAGAGAGAAGGGGGUCCACUCAGUGCCGACCGGAGCGUGAUGGACCCCCUGGCCGACAUACGCGCGUCUCAGGCGGAGCGCAGCAGCAGAGGAGCCGCCGGUGGGGAAUCAGCGGACGAGCAGAAACGCGGCUGCGGGAGAGACGCGGCGAUGAGCGGCAGCGACAGUCUGAGCAGCUUCGCCGACAUGGAAGACUCGCUGGAGGACAAGCUCAAAGGUCUGGCGUUCAGGAAGCAGAUCUCGUACAGAAAUAUCCAAACAUUCUUAAAAAUACAUGAGAAGCAACGCUGCAUAAGAUAAUCAGACGAGAGGAGAAAAGACAAGGGGGAGGAAAAUGAAUGUAGGACAGAGGGAUGGAGGGGGAGAGUGUCUUUGCUCCGUCAUGUGGUGAAGGACGAGGUGAAUGUGGCCCACAGCAGCUGGUCUGCCGGGAGACCCUGAAGUUUGACCCUGACGAGAAGGAAAGGGAGAAGGGUACGGAAGGAGAGAGAAAUAAGAGACAAAGAUGAGGUGAGAGUUAAGGAGGAAGGUGAGAGGCUGAAGACCUGAGAUAAUCUUGAGAAAGAUAAAGAGAGACUGAAGAGGAUUGUUCUUUAAAAACAGGUCCUAUAUAUUUAUACCCUUUAGAAGAGGAAGGAAAGAGGGAACAAGAGAGGGGUUGAGGAACAGAUUGUCACAUCGCCAUGAGGAAAGGACACACAAACACUCUGCUGUCCCUCAUCUGUGAGAGAGGAACAGAGACAGAGCAGAGACAGGCCGGACAGAACGACAUGUGAGGAAUGACAGUCAUCACUGGACUGUGGAGGGAAAGUGUGCGUCGCAGAGUUAGGCUGGGUGGUGAUGGAUAUAAAUAUCUGAGCCCUGUUGUUUGGGGAGUUGAAGCGGGAAAAGCCCAGGCUUCCUGUCUGACCACUAAACCAGCAGGAGGGGUGUUCUUUUGCACACUUAUAAGUUCACAGUAUCCUCAAUGCAUGUUGACUUUCAGUGCAUGUUGAGCAUUUAAUGAAACGCUAUAAAUGAAUAUGGUACUACACAAUGAAUGCAUUACCAAACUAAUGCAUUUAAAGAUUUAAAACGCUAGAAAGCUACUCGUUCUAUGAGUGGCAGACACAUGCACAGAAAAACACCUGCUGCCAGUAAACAGUUAGUCUGGAUUUGUAUCAUGCAUUUCCUACGCUGUUAGAAGAAGGCGCAGAGUUAAUUUAGCUGAAAUAAUAGCAAAUCACAUUCAUCUGUCAGUGAAUCAGGCUUGCUGAGCUCCUCCAUCAACAGCUCCACCACAGAUGUUAUCUGGGUUUUC